AGUGAACGCUGGCGGUAGGCCUAACACAUGCCAGUCGAACGGCAGCACAGUAAGAGCUUGCUCUUACGGGUGGCGAGUGGCGGACGGGUGAGGAAUACAUCGGAAUCUACUUUUUCGUGGGGGAUAACGUAGGGAAACUUACGCUAAUACCGCAUACGCCCUACGGUGGAAAGCAGGGGAUCUUCGGACCUUGCGCGAUUGAAUGAGCCGAUGUCGGAUUAGCUAGUUGGCGGGGUAAAGGCCCACCAAGGGGACGAUCCGUAGCUGGUCUGAGAGGAGGAUCAGCCACAGUGGAACUGAGACACGGUACAGACACCUACGGGAGGCAGCAGUGGGGAAGAUUGGACAAUGGGCGCAAGCUUGAUCCAGCCAUAGCGCGUGGGUGAAGAAGGCCUUCGGGUUGUAAAGCCCUUUUGUGGGGAAAGAAAAGCAGCAGGUUAAAACCACGCUGUGCUGAGGGUACCCAAAGAAUAAGCACCGGCUAACUUCGU
rnacentral:rRNA from 1 species